CAAGUACUGCGUUCGGGCUCAAAUCGGCUAAACGACGCCCCAUGUCGAUGCUAACGCUAACGGAGCUCACCUAAUGGUGACAGACUCUGACGUCAGCUCUGCGGUGGGCUCUAAGUUUCCGGAUACGCCAUAAACUACGGGUGCCUGGUACGUUUUUCCCGCCACAGAUGACUUCCAAAACUAUCAACGGGUUUACUUUUUCACCGGUGAUGCUGAAACACACGAAUGCACGCUUCCGGACAAAGCAGCUGAAGUAAUAGAAGCAAGACGGGAAAGGAAUGAAGAACUUGUCAGCUUCAUUGUUGAAGAAAAGGGUGCUGAGGAAAGCCUUGAGGCCAUUUUAUCGGGUGAUGAGAUGCCACAUUUCCAUUUCAAAGAGAAGUGGGUUCCAAUCAUCUUUGAUGAUGACCAACAACUCGACCGGAUCAUGACAUACCUGUCACACCUGCUAGACAACUUCAAACACAAAUCAGUUGAAGUCCUGAGCAUGGUUAGCCUGGCAAGCCAGACUAAAUAAAUGUAUUAUUUAGUCUGGCCAUGCUCAAUUGACGGCUCUCGGUUGUGGGGCGGGUUCUACCGUUGUCUUUCAAAUGAUCUCCGCAUUCCACUGGAUAAUGAAUGUGACAUACUCUUGUUUCACUCUGUUGCAUCAUCCCACCCACCAGGCAUAUAGAGUGCCCUGAUUGGCCCACAAAGCGGAUAAAGCUCUGUGAUUUGUUCACUGAGCAGAUAGAGCAUGAUUGGCCCACCAUUAUGGACCAAUCACAGCUCUUUAUGUGUUUGAAACCCCUCUAGAGAGCUGUGAUUGGCAAGCCAGAGUCCUGGUAGGAGCUGCUGAGGUUCCAAUGGAGCAUGCCUAGACCAUUCUUUGCAAAGCAAGAAUUUGGUCUAGUUCACUAGGCUAGAGCAUGGUCUCUUCUGACCGGAUCAAGUACACACUGACUGUAAUGCUGUCAGAGGCAUCCGCAACAGCACUCAAAGGUCCAAGGGCUAACCAGGGCUGAGGCAGUGGAAAAGAUUGAGCACGCAGCAAAAAAGUGGAACUUCUCAUGAAACUGAAAACAGAAAUGGAGACGUUCAAAUCUCUGAAGUUCUCUGGAAUGUGGGAGAGUAAAAAAGUUUGAGGCUGAAUAUUUCUGCUUGUUUUUAAUUAAGACACAGAAACAUCAAAGUCAUUUUUGCAUAGUUGUGGCUGUUCUGUAACUGUGCUACAUGUUACCGAAAAAAUACAAUUGUUUUGAAGUUUCACAAAUCAGGGAAAGGUUUCACAAAUCCCACACUGUGUUUUAUUUGAUCUGCUAUUAUAGUAGAAUAAUGUAGAACAGGUUUGAAUAGUGUAGGGCAGUGGUUCCUAACCUGGGGGUCCCGACCCCCACAAGGGGGCGCCAAAGCAUCUCAGUGGGUCGCCAGGACCUUUCCACUUUAAGGGGUUAAAACUUCAUUUAUUACUUGUUUAUAGCCUACAUUUUACUCAGUUUUUUUCAUGAGUGAAAAGUUUACUGAUAUUAAGACAGGAAAUAGUUAGUACAGAAAAAGUAACACACUUUUAAGAACAUUUGGCUCAGCUCACUGUUUUAUUUUCAAGUGUCAAAAGUUCAUUAAAAUAGGACUGGUUGAUUAAUCACAGCCUUUACAGUAAAUAAUCUAGUAUAAACAGUAAUAUACACAUUUAAGUACAUUUUGCUCAGUGUAUUUUUUAUGUGUCAAACGUUUAUUGAAAGGAAUGAUUGAUUUAUCAGUGUUUACAAGAAACAAUGUGUUCAGAAAAGUAAUACAAACUGUCAAGCACAUUAUGCUCUGUUUGGUUUUGUUAAUGACUUUGUUCUGUACUGCAGCCUACUAUUACUGUUAUCUAUUGAAUCAAAGCAUAUUAAAAUGUGCUUGAACAAUUUUAUCAUUUCUUAAUGUUUGUAUUGGAAGAGAGAAUGGGAGGGGGUCGUCAAAAAUUUUACUGGUAAAAAACGGGUCCCUUGGGAAAAAGGUUGGGAACCACUGGUGUAGGGGCUGUACUUCUUGAGCUACAGCUUUUCCAGUGUUGGCCAGAUGCUGAAAAAACACAUAAAUCUGGAUUUGUUGAAGUUUCACAAAUCAGGAAAAGGUUUAACAAAUCCCAGACAAGGUUGUAUGCAAUCUGCUAUUAUUUCAGAAUAAUCUAGAACAGGUUUGAACAGUGUGGCUGUUGUAGUUUUUGAGCUACAGCUGUUCCAUCGUUGGCCAGAUGCUGAAAAAAACCCGCAUAAAUCUGGAUUUGUUGAAGUUUCACAAAUCAUGGAAAUGUUUCACAAAUCCCACACUGUGUUUUAUUUGAUCUGCUUUUAUAGUAGAAUAAUCUAGAACAGGUUUGAAAAGUGUGGGUGUUGUAGUUUUUGAGGUAGAGCAGAUUAAAGAUGGUCAGAGUAGAGAAAAAUUGGGUGUAAUGGCCCUUUAGCCGUUACCUGAAUCGGAAGCUAACUUCAGCCUAGUCAUCAGCAGCGUUUGUUCACAACCGUUUUCAGGUAAAGUAAUUUUGUUUAUUCUAGAAGCUUUCGGGACUUACAUGUUAACUUUAGAUGGUUUCAUGUAUGUUUUAAGCUACAGAAUGAACUUGUUAAAUGUACACAACACAUUACUACAGAGUAUUAUCAUGUAGGUAAUUAAUAUAACCCAAAUGCAUUAUAAAUGUUGAAUGCAGUCGGAUGUUUUCUAAUGUAAAUUGGACCUUAGAACUUAUUUACCAUCAAAUGGGGGUAAAACGUUUUAAAAAACAGGCUUUUUAAUAAAAUGGCAUUUAAGUGUUUUCAGUGUGCAUUUGUUUAUUCAACUUAAGCCUAAUAAUGAUUAGAUCUGUCUUAAAUAAAAACUACAGAGAAUUUACAUUUUUAACUAUUCCCUGCUGUUUCUUUAAACAGAACAGAAUCAGUGUACUGCAGGUUAUAUGUUUGUUUUACAUUUUUCAAUGGAAAAAAAACCUCUUAUUUAAUCUAUUACAGGUCAGCAUGCACUGUGCUGCACAUCUGCCUCUGUGCUGGUGAAGUUGUGGGUCUGGAGGAUGAGCCUGAGGAAGAUGUGUGUGGAGGAGGUCAGCGGUGCUCUGUCCUGGAGGAGGUACCAGCAGACCACCACUACUGUUAACAGGAAAGUCAUUUAUGUAGGAACCUCUAUUA